UUAUACCUACGGGGGGCAGCAGUGGGGGAUAUUGGACAAUGGGGGGAACCCUGAUCCAGCGACGCCGCGUGAGUGAAGAAGUAUUUCGGUAUGUAAAGCUCUGUCAGCAGGGAAGAAAGCAAUAACGGUACCUGACCAAGAAGCCCCGGCUAACUACGUGCCAGCAGCCGCGGUAAUACGGAGGAUGCGAGCGUUAUCCGGAUUUACUGGGUGUAAAGGGAGCGUAGACGGCAGCACAAGUCUGGAGUGAAAUGCCGGGGCUUAACCCCGGAACUGCUUUGGAAACUGUGCAGCUAGAGGGCAGG
rnacentral:rRNA from 1 species